rnacentral:rRNA from 1 species
AGUGAACGCUGGCGGUAGGCCUAACACAUGCAAGCCGAACGGCAGCACAGUAAGAGCUUGCUCUUACGGGUGGCGAGUGGCGGACGGGUGAGGAAUACAUCGGAAUCUACUUUUUCGUGGGGGAUAACGUAGGGAAACUUACGCUAAUACCGCAUACGACCUACGGGUGAAAGCAGGGGAUCUUCGGACCUUGCGCGAUUGAAUGAGCCGAUGUCGGAUUAGCUAGUUGGCGGGGUAAAGGCCCACCAAGGCGACGAUCCGUAGCUGGUCUGAGAGGAUGAGCAGCCACACUGGAACUGAGACACGGUCCAGACUCCUACGGGAGGCAGCAGUGGGGAAUAUUGGACAAUGGGCGCAAGCCUGACCCAGCCAUACCGCGUGGGUGAAGAAGGCCUUCGGGUUGUAAAGCCCUUUUGUUGGGAAAGAAAAGCAGCAGGUUAAUACCCCGCUGUUCUGACGGUACCCAAAGAAUAAGCACCGGCUAACUUCGUG